UCUGUCCUCAAAUUGGUUCAUUCUUCUGUGCAGACUUUCGUUGAAGUUUUUAAUCUCUUGGAAAUCUGUUUGUAUCUGUUUUAUGGAUUCCAUUUGCUUCCUAUGUUGGGAUUCCAUCAUGUUCCUCAGAUCCUCUAUUUUUUUAUCUAUGUCCUCUCUAGAUUUAUUAAUCAUGUCUUGCACCAUGAGCAAAAUCUUUGCUGUUAUCUGAGUAAUUAUUUCUCAUUUUAUUUUUCCCAGAUCCUCCUUUUGUUGCCACUUCAGAGAGUCCAGGUGGUUGAGUAUCAGAGUGCUCCAGCUCGUUUCCCUUCGGGGUUGCUGUAGACAGUUGCUGUUUCCUAGUGUGUGGAAUGGGCCUCUGAGAAACCAGUAUCUUCCAUUGUGGGGAAGCAGAGGCACUCAUGGCCAUGGAGGAAUUUAUACAAGAUGUGCUUCUUUUUCCCUUCAGUUCUUUGCUUAUUCCUGGACUAUCAAGCCAUUCAAAUUGCUGUUCUCCUGCCCUGCUUCUCAGUCACCACGAACUAAGAAGUUUUGUUCUAUCAUACUCUUCUACCAUGCCAUUUCUGCCUUGAAGCAAAUCAACCAUGAAUUCCACCCUCUGAAACCAUGACACAGAUAAACCUCUCAUCCUUUAAGCGGUGGGUAUAAGAUAUUUGUCUCAGCUAUAAGAAAGCUGACUAAUGCAGAACAUUGGUACCAGAGAAGUGAAAGUCAUUGCUAUAAAUGUACUUGAUCAUAUGGUUCAGAAGCCUUUGGAACUGGUUUGUGGGAAGAGUCUUGAAAAAGCCUGGAGAAAGCCUACAAUAUUACAAGCAGAUCUUGAUGAAUGACUCUUGCUAGAGCUCAAAGAUAAGAAUGUUGGUAAUAACAUGGACAGUAUGAGAUUUCAGUUGGGAACUCUAUUGGGAAUUAGGCUAAAGGUCAUGCAUGUUAUACUCUACCACAAGUUCUCUAAUUUUGUUCAUACUCUAAGACUAAAUUUUAGGCCCAUGAGCCAAGAGAAAAAAUCAAGGCAGCCCAAUAUUCAGGCAGUGGUAUGUGUACUUCUGGUUUUUUAAUCCAGAUUUGUAGUGAGAAUCAGGAGCAAAAAACAGAUCAGAAAGUUUUGAAAAGCAUAAGUUUUGACCAGAAAAUUAGCAUAUGUAAAGUUAGCAUCAAGGAGAGUAUGGUUCCUAAAAAAAUUAAUGCUUUUUAAAAGACACCAAAUACUGUGAACUAGGACAAGAAGAAAGAUGUUUUGAGGGCACCUCAGGAACUGGCAAGACUGCAUCCAUCAUAGACUCUAAGGUACAAAAGUGUAGAUCUUUCAUUUGAAGAAAGAGACCCUGGGACCCUUUUCAAGAAGGUCCAUUUAGGAAAUUGGUUUCCCUGGAUUCAUUUCACUGUGUUCAGCCAUCCAGGCCCUCAGAGGCCACUUUAUUGCUCACAUUGGUGGCAGAUCUUGGCACUAUCCACAUAAUGCUGAUUUUUUUGGUAUACAGAAUGCUAUGGAAACAUUAAGGCUUCCACUCAGAUUUUAAAGAAAGGCCUUGAACACCAGGCAAAAAUGUGUGACAGUGUCAGUGUCCCUGCCAGAAGCUACUGAGAGCACAAUGGGUGUAGCUGUAGGAAUGAAGCCAAAGGUAUAAUGGAGACCCCAGGAAACUAGGGAUUUUAGGAGCAAGGAAAGCUGUGGCAACGAGUACAGCCAGCCCAGGAUAGAGGUCAUGUGAGCUGAAACUGGCAAAACCAUAGGGAUGGUGUUGCCCAAACCCUUUGGCACUCACAUUUCACCACCAUGUUCCCUGGAUUCCAGACGUGUAGCUAUAAGAUCUAACACUUGCCUUGCUGGUUUUCAGUCUUGCUUUGGUCCUAUUCUUCUUUAUUUCCUCCCCUUAUUCAUUUCUCUUUUUGAGAUGAGAGUGUUUACCCUGUACAGUUUUAUAUUGAGAAUAUGUAACUUGCUUUUUGAAUUUUCAGACGUUUGUAGCCAAGGGCUUACUUUGAGUCUCAGGGGAUAUUUUGAACUUAAAUUUAUGAAUAAUGCUGGAAUUGGUGAAACUUUAGGGUGGACAUUGAAGGACCCUAGUUAGUAAGACAGACUCCAUAUUGCUGCUUGACCCACCUGCCUGCCCUUUACAUGAACUCAGAAGGAGGAAGCUUAGAAACCUCCUCCCCUUAGAGUUUCUUAGAAGCAACAAUUAAUCAACUAUUGUUUUACAAAUGUUCUAAGGACAGGGUGUUCAGCUUCUGUACCUUUUGCUUGCUUUGCUAGUUCUAUCCCAUAGGGGGCCCCAGAAACUGCUGGCCUCAAAGAUGCAUAAAAUAUGUUAAUCUCCCCCAGUCAGGGCUUGAGUCUGAUGCUUGGCUCAGGUCCCAGCCAGUAAUAAACUGCUGUGUGGAUUUAAUAUCAGUCUCUGGUUGGUUCUUUCUCACUGGGUCCAACAGACAUUAUUGCAUUUUUGGUUGUAUGUGGGAUACUUACAUCAUGUUAAGUAGAUUCAUGACUUUGUGUUUAUUUGGAGAUUAAGUGUGACUUAAGAAAAUAUGUUUGGGUGUCAGGAAGGGGUGGAAUAUGAUGGUCACCAUGAACUAAGCACCUUUGCUCUGCUAUGCCCUUCCACCACAAUGUUCCUGUCUUGGGGACAGCUGGCCAUAUAUUGAACCCUUUGAAAACAAGAGCCAAUUAAACCUCUCAUCCUUUAUGUUGUAACUGUUGGGUAUUUUGUGCCAGAGAUGGUAAAGCUGAACAAUAUAGGCUAUAUAUUUAACUUUAUAAGAACAUCUAAACAAAUAUUCCAGUUGGUUAGUUGCUCUUUGUGUCUACCAGCAGCUAUUUAAUAAGCCUGAAUUAAGUUAUUUUAAAAAUGCC
ensembl:lncRNA